GGCCUGGUGGUCUAGUCGUAUGAUUCCUCCUUUGGGUGUUUGUACUUGAUUGGAGGAGGUCCUGGGUUCAAUUCCCGGUCAGGCCC